rnacentral:lncRNA from 1 species
UGCCCUCUGGGCCCCUGAGCUCCGCCCUCAGCCUCUGACUUCACCCCGAGGCCCCGCCUCCCACGUGCGGGUGCUCCUCUCCCAGAGCUCACCAGUCCUUCCAGCAGUCCUCAGGUUGCACGCGACCAGCAGUGGACUUUACUGAGUAGGGGUGGGAAGCCGGUGGCUCCGGGCAGCCGUGAUAACCCGGCACAGAAGCAGAGUCGCAUUUCGGAGCGUCCACCCGUAACCUGGCUUCUCGCACAUGGAGCCCAUAGUCCAGGAGAGAGAAGGCCAGGGCGGCCCUGGAGAGGUUGUAGGUGCAGGCGGAUCGGCGGCGGAGACCCCUUCGUGCUCAGGAAGGCACUGUGAGCUGCAUGGAGCUGAACCCCUUUCCCAGACAGUAGAGUCUCCCCUCCCCCUCCGGGGACCUUUACCUGUCACCUCCUGAAGGAUCGAACAGGGAUUGUCCACUAAAGUAGCCUUAGGUACCAUUUGUCUAGGGCACGCUGGCUGGGCCUCAGAACUUAGUACUCUGGGCCAUUGAGCUGUCCAUGGAGAACAGGGAGCAUCACUUUUAUGUAGGGAUUGUGCCCGGGGCUGGGGCAUGGGCUGGAGCUAAUGUCCACAGGCAGUGCCAGCAAUAUGCCAAAUGCACCAAGCACCAAGGCAAAGCCACAAGGCUGCAGAUGACUUCUUUCAGGCAACUCAGUUUUGUGCUAGACCUCAAUAGACUUUCUUUUGUCAGGACCAUGCAAAGAGUGGAACACCAGCUAUUCAAGGGUGUAGAUGAAAGUUGCUCCCCAAAACUAAGAGUUGUGUGAGUUACAUUUAGACCCUGCAUCCAAAGGUUUAUUAAGAUAACCUAAAAUGCCUUUGAGAUGACAAACGUUAGGACUCAUCAUUUUACUUAGAUUUGCCUCCUACCGUUAUAAUUUUAGGCUCCCUCAUAAUCCUACUAACAUUCUAUUCUCUCUGUACUAUUUUUUCUUUCAUUCAACAAUAUCGUUUCAUCCUGGCCAAGUUCUUUCCUCUCUUCCUUCCCAGCAUGCACUUGGUUCUGCUGUAGACUCCACUCUCUUCAGUACCACAACAGGACUACUUAUUCCUUAGGCGAUGUACAGCCAAACAAGGUGACUAGCUGCCUGCCAGGAGACCUUAUUAAAAGAUUUCAUUUCUUCGCAUCCAGCUCUGUUUCCUGAGGCAUUUGCAAACCAAUUCAGCACUACAGAAAACCAAAACCAA